AUCUGGCUAACAGCUUCUGUGGCUGUUGUAGCUUGCUUUCUUCUUCUUGCUACUUCUUAAAGCCAUUUCUAGAAGAGAACUACACCAUCAGACUGAAAGAGGUACUUGGCUGCUUCUGCAGCAGAAGGUAGGCCCACCCUCCAUCCAUAGUGAUCUCAGAAGGGUGGGAUCUAGGCCUCAGCCUUGUUUAUGGAUUGAGGUUUGCUCCUCCUUUUUCUCUAGCUAUUCCUAUGCUCUAGGUAGUGCUGUGGCAAAAGCCAAGGAUCUGUCUCAACGUCUGCAGUAACACAGGGCUGUCCUAAACACAGUUGCCUUUUUAGGAAAACUGAUUUGGAUGAGAACAACCAUCUUUAAUUUGUGCAACGUACUGUGUUUUAUCAUGGGAGAGCAUGGUGAAGGCACAGGUUUUUGUUCACUGCUGUUUCCACCCUUUAAGGACCGUGUGUGAAUGCCUGCUCUGUGAGCCCUCAGAAUCUACUGGCUGAAUGAGUGCGUGGAGGAAAUGUGCUCAGAGCUGCUGUGUGUCAUCCUGUGUUUGAAGUGCUCCUGCAGCUAUCAUUCAUCCAGUUAAGAAUUUGAAGAAGUGUGUGCACAAAGGAUGUACCAGACUAUUAAUAUUGGUGACCAUGGGCUAGGGAGUAUGUUCUUGAUAAAUUUACAAAAUCUUCUGAUCAACUAUAGACUUUAAAAAUAUAACAUCAAUUUUUUAAUAAAAUACUCUCUCUCUCUCUCUCUCUCUCUCU
rnacentral:lncRNA from 1 species